ACCAAAAAAAAAAAAGAAAAGCAAAAGCAGACAGAUGGUGCCUGUGCAGAAGCUGCAGACAGGAGAUGCUCCUGUCAGUGAGGUUCCAAACAGCCCACAUGGCCCACAGAACAAAGCUGCUGCGUCCGGAGAGCCUGCUCACAACACCUACCUCUUAAAAGCCUGAUCUGUUUUGUUUGUGCAGGGUUGGGGAUGGAGCCCGAGCCACACCCACACCCUGCAAGCUCUCCCCCAGCCAGCAACACUGGAAGCAUGAAGACUGUUUUAACUCCUCGUCUUUCUGCUUGCUUCCUCACUUCCAUCUUGAAGAACCACAGCCAGAAGCAUGAGAGGAAGCAGAGAAGGGAAAAGAGAACCAAAGUGCAAACCAGUCCCUUCGGAACCUACCUUUAAAAUAAAAUUAUCUUAUUUUUAUUUUUUUGGUACCGGGAAUCAAACUCCGGGCCUCACGUUUGCCAGGCAGGCGCUGCACCGCUGAGCUAUAUCCCCAGCCCUCUUAUUUUUAUUGACUUCCGGUGCUAAAGAGUCAACCUAGGGCCUCAAUCAUGCUAAGCACACCCUCUACGACUGGACAACAUUCCCAGCCCCUAGAAGACAAACUCGAUGUGUCUGGGCUUUGUAAUACCUGAGGCCAACUGGAAACCGUAAAACUGACCAGAUUCGUGAAAGUGAGGGGGAACAGUAAUCCACAACGUUUACAGCCAGUGGUCAGGAAGAAUAAAGUUGCUCUUCAUAGAUCCACUAAAGACCACCUCAUUUAAUAAGUCAGUUAUGUAACCAAAGGAUUUUUUUUUUCACCUGAAGUAUGUAAACAACUCUCAGCAAUCGAAAGAGAAACGAAAGAAAAAAGAAAAAUGGGCAAGCGGUAUGAAUAGGCAAUUCAAAACCAACAAAGAUGAUAAAAGUGAAAAAAAGCUCCACUUCUCUAGUAGUCAAGGAAAUGAAAAUAAAACCAGAUAUAACUUCACACACACAUAUACACGCACGCAAGCACACGCACCCCAGGGUGAAAAACGUGUGCAAGUGCAACUGUGCCUGGGGCUGGCGACGACUCCAGGCUAAAAGAAAGAAAGAAGGGGCAGAACAACGCCAAUUUAAGCACCAGUAGAGGUCAGUUUUUGCAUAAGAACAUCAACAGCGCCAGCGGCCACUUAAACUUUCCAGGAUACACGUAACCAGGCAAAGUGACUUGCUGGCCUAAGCAGGGCGGGGUGUACUGGGAGCUUGGCUGUAGAGCGCCUGCGUGAAACGAGGAUGUGGGUCAGGUAGCUGGACUUCGCGAGUGAAGGGGCUCACAGCUAAGAGUUUGCCUUAAGACUCAAAGGUGACAUUGGACCUGGACUUUUCAGCAAUGCCGACACCAUUAGGACACUGGCAACUCUUAGAGAUGGACUCAAUGUAUUCUGCAUAAAGAGAUGUGUUGUUAGGGAUUAAACCCAGCGCCUCGGGCACGCUAGCCAACACGCUACCAUGGAGCUACACCCCCAGCCCUACCGACGCACUUCUGAAAUCCAGUGACUCCCCCCGGAGAAUACGCAUUUUAACACCCGACCGUUGUACCCAAACAUGCUACGGGCCCCUCUAGGCGCUGCCCCUCUGGCACUGUGGGUUUAUUUGUGCUGGAGCAGGGAAGGGAGGGUUGGUCACUGCUGUGGUUUGGAUGUUUGUCCCGUCCAAGACAUGCACUGACAUUUAACUGUUGAUGCGACAGCACUGGGAGGUGGGCCUCAUGGGAGGGACUGGUGCCAUUAUAAAAGGGCAGAUCGGGCCCUUCUUUCUCUCUUGUCCUUCCUCUUUCCGGUGUGGGAUGGUGCAGACACAAGCCCAUUGUUUGGGUUUGUAUUUAGAUGUCCCCCCAAAACCUCAUGCAGAUGAGGUGGGACUUUCUUUUUCAGAGGUGGCUGAAUCUGGACUGUGUGAUGCUGGGGUUAAGGGUUCGUGAUUACUAAACCACUACACAGGAGUGAUUGGUUUGGCACUGCCUUAAUCCUGGUAGUCUGAAUAAGAUAAAAGGAGCAGAAAGAUGCUAUUAAACCUCUUGAUGCCUUUGCUUCAUUGUGAGUACAUUGUUCCUUUGUGAUGCCCGUUUGCCAUUCCUGUCUUGGAACCAGCUGAUUAUGGAGUGAAACCUGUAUGAACUGUAAGCCAAAUAAACCUUUCCCCCUUCAACUCUGCAUGGCAGGUAUUUUGUCUCAGCAAUGGGAGAAGAGUAAUGAACACACCCAUCCAUCCUGCACUCCAGCUUCCACAGCUGUGAGACAGUCAAGCUCCGAUCACCGGGCACUGUCUUGUUCCAGUUCCAGCAGCCCAGGGCAUACCGAGACGGCCA